rnacentral:rRNA from 1 species
UUUGAUCCUGGCUCAGAUUGAACGCUGGCGGCAUGCCUUACACAUGCAAGUCGAACGGCAGCGCGGGAGCAAUCCUGGCGGCGAGUGGCGAACGGGUGAGUAAUACAUCGGAACGUGCCCAAUCGUGGGGGAUAACGCAGCGAAAGCUGUGCUAAUACCGCAUACGAUCUACGGAUGAAAGCAGGGGAUCGCAAGACCUUGCGCGAAUGGAGCGGCCGAUGGCAGAUUAGGUAGUUGGUGAGGUAAAGGCUCACCAAGCCUUCGAUCUGUAGCUGGUCUGAGAGGACGACCAGCCACACUGGGACUGAGACACGGCCCAGACUCCUACGGGAGGCAGCAGUGGGGAAUUUUGGACAAUGGGCGAAAGCCUGAUCCAGCAAUGCCGCGUGCAGGAUGAAGACCUUCGGGUUGUAAACUGCUUUUGUACGGAACGAAAAGGCUCUUUCUAAUAAAGAGGGCUCAUGACGGUACCAUAAGAAUAAGCACCGGCUAACUACGUGCCAGCAGCCGCGGUAAUACGUAGGGUGCGAGCGUUAAUCGGAAUUACUGGGCGUAAAGCGUGCGCAGGCGGUGAUGUAAGACAGUUGUGAAAUCCCCGGGCUCAACCUGGGAACUGCAUCUGUGACUGCAUCGCUGGAGUGCGGCAGAGGGGGAUGGAAUUCCGCGUGUAGCAGUGAAAUGCGUAGAUAUGCGGAGGAACACCGAUGGCGAAGGCAAUCCCCUGGGCCUGCACUGACGCUCAUGCACGAAAGCGUGGGGAGCAAACAGGAUUAGAUACCCUGGUAGUCCACGCCCUAAACGAUGUCAACUGGUUGUUGGGAAUUCACUUUCUCAGUAACGGAGCUAACGCGUGAAGUUGACCGCCUGGGGAGUACGGCCGCAAGGUUGAACUCAAAGGAAUUGACGGGGACCCGCACAAGCGGUGGAUGAUGUGGUUUAAUUCGAUGCAACGCGAAAAACCUUACCCACCUUUGACAUGUACGGAAUUUGCCAGAGAUGGCUUAGUGCUCGAAAGAGAGCCGUAACACAGGUGCUGCAUGGCUGUCGUCAGCUCGUGUCGUGAGAUGUUGGGUUAAGUCCCGCAACGAGCGCAACCCUUGUCAUUAGUUGCUACAUUUAGUUGGGCACUCUAAUGAGACUGCCGGUGACAAACCGGAGGAAGGUGGGGAUGACGUCAAGUCCUCAUGGCCCUUAUAGGUGGGGCUACACACGUCAUACAAUGGCUGGUACAAAGGGUUGCCAACCCGCGAGGGGGAGCUAAUCCCAUAAAACCAGUCGUAGUCCGGAUCGCAGUCUGCAACUCGACUGCGUGAAGUCGGAAUCGCUAGUAAUCGUGGAUCAGAAUGUCACGGUGAAUACGUUCCCGGGUCUUGUACACACCGCCCGUCGCACCAUGGGAGCGGGUUCUGCCAGAAGUAGUUAGCUUAACCGCAAGGAGGGCGAUUACCACGGCAGGGUUCGUGACUGGGGUGAAGUCGUAACAAGGUA